rnacentral:rRNA from 1 species
GUCCACGCCCUAAACGAUGUCAACUGGUUGUUGGGUCUUAACUGACUCAGUAGCGAAGCUAACGCGUGAAGUUGACCGCCUGGGGAGUACGGCCGCAAGGUUGAAACUCAAAAGGAAUUGACGGGGACCCGCACAAGCGGUGGAUGAUGUGGUUUAAUUCGAUGCAACGCGAAAAACCUUACCCACCUUUGACAUGUACGGAAGCCUUUAGAGAUAGAGGCGUGCUCGAAAGAGAGCCGUAACACAGGUGCUGCAUGGCUGUCGU